UGCAAGUCGAGCGAGAUUCUGCAGAGUAUCGUAGAGUUUAGCGGCAGACGGGUGAGUAGCACGUAGGAAACCUCCCUCAGAAUGGGGAAUAUCUCCGAGAAAUCGGAGUUAAUACCGCAUAAGACCACAGUUUGGCAUCAAACAGGGGUCAAAGCAGUAAUGCGUUUUGAGAUGGUCCUGCGGCCUAUCAGCUAGUUGGUGGGGUAACGGCCUACCAAGGCUAUGACGGGUAUCCGGUCUGAAAGGAUGAACGGACACACUGGAACUGAGAUACGGUCCAGACUCCUACGGGAGGCAGCAGUGGGGAAUUUUGGACAAUGGGGGCAACCCUGAUCCAGCGACGCCGCGUGGAGGACGAAGGCCUUCGGGUUGUAAACUCCUUUUGGAGGGGAAGAAAAUAAUGACGGUACCCUCAGAAAAAGCCACGGCUAACUACGUGCCAGCAGCCGCGGUAAUACGUAGGUGGCGAGCGUUACUCGGAAUUACUAGGCGUAAAGCGUAUGUAGGCGGUUAGAUAAGUCUUUAGUGAAAUUUCUCGGCUCAACCGGGAAAGGUCUAAGGAUACUGUUUGGCUUGAGUGUGGGAGUGGGAGACGGAAUUCCUGGUGUAGCGGUGAAAUGCGUAGAUAUCAGGAGGAACACCGAGGGCGAAAGCAGUCUCCUGGACCAAUACUGACGCUAAUGUACGAAAGCUAGGGUAGCAAACAGGAUUAGAUACCCUGGUAGUCCUAGCUGUAAACGAUGUUCACUAGAUGUGGGAGGUAUCGACCCCUUCCGCGUCGACGCUAACGCAUUAAGUGAACCGCCUGGGAAGUACGGCCGCAAGGUUGAAACUCAAAGGAAUUGACGGGGGCCCGCACAAGCGGUGGAAUAUGUGGUUUAAUUCGACGCAACGCGAAAAACCUUACCUGGGCUUGAACUGCUAAUGGUAAAAGCCGGAAACGGUAAUGACUCGCAAGGGAGUUAGCAGAGGUGCUGCAUGGCUGUCGUCAGCUCGUGUCGUGAGAUGUUGGGUUAAGUCCCGCAACGAGCGCAACCCUUAUCCCAUGUUACCUGUAGCAAUACAGGAUCUCUGAGGAGACUGCCAUUGAUAAAAUGGAGGAAAGGUGGGGGACGAACGUCAAGUCAUCAUGGGCCUUUAUGUCCAGGGGCUACCCACCGUAUUACAAUGGUCCGGUACAGAAGGGUAGCGAUAUCGCAAGGUGGAGCAAAUCCCUAAAAGCCCGGCCUCAGUUUCAGAUUGUGGGCUGCAAUUCGCCCACAUGAAGUAGGAAUCCGCUAGUAAUCGCAGAUCAGCAGGCUGCGGUGAAUACGUUCCCGGGGCCUUUGUACCACACCGCCCCGUCACACCACGAAAGUCAGUCGUAACAGAAGUCGUUGAGCUAACCGCAAGGAGGCAGACGCCUAAGUAUGGUUGGUGAUUGGGGUGAAGUCGUAACAAGGUAGCCGUACGAGAACGUGCGGCUGGAUCACCUCCUUUCCUAGGGAGUAAACAUACGUUUUAAGUUUGCUUAAAGCGGGAUGUUAACGGUCGGUUCUUGAUUUGCAGCGUUCGGAAUUGUCUUUCUUUUGCGGGGCGUUUGUUUGCAUGUUGUUUAGUUGUUUUGUGCGCUGAAGUGGUAGUUAUUACUGUCAAACAGCUUUAUGUUGAUGCGCUAAUGUGGAGUUGCCUGGCUUGGCUGCAGGCUAUAUCUUUAAGCGGGCGUAAGUGAGUAGUUGUUUAAGCGGGCCUAUAGCUCAGUUAGUCAGAGCGCACCCCUGAUAAGGGUGAGGUCUGUGGUGCAACUCCACAUAGGCCCACCAACAGUUUGACAGUCUGCUUUUAUGGAGGCAGUUGUUGGUAAAAUGGGGAUAUAGCUCAGCUGGGAGAGCGCCUGCUUUGCAAGCAGGAGGUCGUCGGUUCAAACCCGACUAUCUCCAUAUAAGCGGUAGCUUCAGAUGACACGUAUGGCAUAGAUGUAGCCGGCGUAAUGUAGUGGCUAUGCUCAGCCAACACCGUCGGCGAUAUGCCGACGAGGAAUUACAAACAAAAAUGUCGUUGCAAAUCGUGAAAGCGAUUAGCGUUCAUUUGGUCAGGUCUGAUUACGUAUGAAGUGAUUGUUUUGUUCAUUGAAAACUUAAUAGUUGUAAGGUAAAUCAAGCGAGAUAAUGUGACCAAGCUACUAAGUGCAUAUAGUGGAUGCCUUGGCUAAGACUGUCGAAGAAGGACGUGGUAAGCUGCGUUAAGCGUCGGGGAGGUGCAAACAACUUUUGAUCCGGCGAUUUCCGAAUGGGGUAACCCACUAUGGAGUAAUCUAUAGUAUCCGAGAGGAAGGCAACCCAGGGAAGUGAAACAUCUCAGUACCUGGAGGAAAAGAAAUCAACCGAGUAUACCGAAAGUAGUGGCGAGCGAAAUCGGUGAAGCCUAAACCGUUGUGUUUACACAGCGGGGUUGCAGGACCGCGUAAGUAGAGUUACCAAUCAGAGAGUUAAUCGAACGGGUUUGGAAAAUCCGACCAUAGAAGGUGAAAGUCCUGUAAAUGAAAACUUUUUGACUCGAAGCGGUAUCCUAAGUACCAUCGGACACGUGAAAUCCGGUGGGAAUCCGGGGGGACCACCCUCCAAGGCUAAAUACAAGUCUUAGACCGAUAGUGAACCAGUACCGUGAGGGAAAGGCGAAAAGAACCGCGGGAGUGGAGUGAAAUAGAACCUGAAACUGUAUGCAUACAAGCAGUUCGAGGCUUUAUGCCCGGAAGCGCAAAUGACCGGAAAUGGCUAAAAAACGUGGCCUUUGUUAAAAAAAUGAUCCCCGGCGAAUUAUUUUGGGAGGGUGCGGAGGUAAAUUAUUAUGUUAACGCGUAUUAAGUAGCCGUAGCGAAAGCGAGUCUGAAAGGGCGAAUAGUACCUAUCAUUAGACCCGAAGCCAAGUGAUCUAAGGCCCGGGACAGGAUGAAUUUCCUUUUAAUCGGGGGAAAGGAGGCUCGAAAGCGUUCGACCCGUUGAAAAAGGUUUUGCAUGAGCCUGGGGUAUAGGGGGUGAAAAGGCCCAAUCUUAACUUUGGUGAUAGCUGGGUUCUUCUCGAAAAUAGCUUUUUGGGCUAGCCUGGAGUGUUUAAAUCAGAGAGGUAGAGCACUGGAUAGUUUAGCGGGUGUAACCCACUUUGCGAUGCUAACCAAACUCCGAAUUCUCUGACGUAUUUCUCUGGAGUCAGUACGUGUGGGAUAAGCUUCACGUGCAAAAGGGAAACAGCCCAGACCAUCAAUUAAGGUCCCAAAAUAUAUGCUAAGUGGUAAAGGAUGUGGAAUUUCCUAGACAGCUAGGAGGUUGGCUUAGAAGCAGCCAUCCUUUAAAGAGUGCGUAAUAGCUCACUAGUCAAGUGAUUCUGCGCCGAAAACACCCGGGGCUCAAGCAUAUUACCGAAAUUAUGGAUUCUAUAGUAAUUAAUAGAGUGGUAGAGGAGCGUUCCUGUCGCGCUGAAGGCAUACCGUAAGGAGUGCUGGAGCUUCAGGAAGUGAGGAUGUCGGAAUAAGUAGCGGUAAGAGAAGUGAAAAUCUUCUCCGCCGAAAACCUAAGGUUUCCUUGAGUAAAGUUCGUCUGCUCAGGGUCAGUCGAUCCUAAGCCGAGGCCGAAAGGCGUAGGCGAUGGGUAUCCGGUUAAUAUUCCGGAACUAUCCUUAGUGCGCAUAAUGUGUUUGGCUACGCUUUUCAGUAGGUCAUCAUCCGAUUGGAAGUGGAUGUUUCUCCGCAAGGAGGAGGACUUGGGGCAACCCGAGGAACUGACUGUAUGGGGAGCCAAGAAAAACCUAGACACCUGUGCUGAGGGUAAACGUACCGCAAACGGACACACGUAGGUGGGGUGAAAAUCCUAAGGCGCGCGAGAUAACUUUCGUUUAGGAACUCGGCAUAUUGACCCCGUAACUUCGGGAUAAGGGGUGCCUAUGGCAACAUAGGUCGCAGUGAAAUGGCCCUCGUGACUGUUUAACAAAAACACAGGACUCUGCUGAAAUCACAAGAUGAUGUAUAGGGUCUGACGCCUGCCCGGGU
rnacentral:rRNA from 1 species